rnacentral:rRNA from 1 species
GAUGAACGCUGGCGGCGUGCCUAAUACAUGCAAGUCGAGCGAACAGAUUAGGAGCUUGCUCCUCUGCCGUUAGCGGCGGACGGGUGAGUAACACGUGGGUAACCUAUCUAUAAGACUGGGAUAACUUCGGGAAACCGGAGCUAAUACCGGCCAAUAUUUUAAACCGCAUGGUUCAAUAGUGAAAGACGGUUUUGCUGUCACUUAUAGAUGGAUCCUCACCGCAUUAGCUAGUUGGUAAGGUAACGGCUUACCAACGCAACUGUGGGUAGCCGACCUGAGAGGGAAGUCGGCCACACUGGAAGUGAGGAACGUUCGAGACUCCGACAGGAGGAAACGGUAGGGAAUCUUACGCAAUGGGCGAAAGCCUGACAGAGCAACACCGCGUGAGUGAUGAAGGUCUUCGGAUCGGAGAGCUAUGUUAGUAGGGAGGAACAAAAGUGUAAGUAACUAUGCACGUCUUGACGGUACCGAAUGAAAAAGCCACGGCUAACUACGUG